AGCCGUAACACAGGUGCUGCAUGGUUGUCGUCAGCUCGUGUCGUGAGAUGUUGGGUUAAGUCCCGCAACGAGCGCAACCCUUGUCAUUAGUUGCCAUCAUUAAGUUGGGCACUCUAAUGAGACUGCCGGUGACAAACCGGAGGAAGGUGGGGAUGACGUCAAAUCCUCAUGGCCCUUAUGACCAGGGCUUCACACGUCAUACAAUGGUCGGUACAAAGGGUAACCAAACCGCGAGGUGGAGCCAAUCUCACAAAACCGAUCGUAGUCCGGAUUGCACUCUGCAACUCGAGUGCAUGAAGUCGGAAUCGCUAGUAAUCGCAAGUCAGCAUACUGCGGUGAAUACGUUCCCGGG
rnacentral:rRNA from 1 species